AUUGAACGCUGGCGGCAGGCCUAACACAUGCAAGUCGAGCGGAUGAAGGGAGCUUGCUCCUGGAUUCAGCGGCGGACGGGUGAGUAAUGCCUAGGAAUCUGCCUGGUAGUGGGGGAUAACGUCCGGAAACGGGCGCUAAUACCGCAUACGUCCUGAGGGAGAAAGUGGGGGAUCUUCGGACCUCACGCUAUCAGAUGAGCCUAGGUCGGAUUAGCUAGUUGGUGGGGUAAAGGCCUACCAAGGCGACGAUCCGUAACUGGUCUGAGAGGAUGAUCAGUCACACUGGAACUGAGACACGGUCCAGACUCCUACGGGAGGCAGCAGUGGGGAAUAUUGGACAAUGGGCGAAAGCCUGAUCCAUCCAUGCCGCGUGUGUGAAGAAGGUCUUCGGAUUGUAAAGCACUUUAAGUUGGGAGGAAGGGCAGUAAGCUAAUACCUUGCUGUUUUGACGUUACCAACAGAAUAAGCACCGGCUAACUUCGUG
rnacentral:rRNA from 1 species